GUGCUCGCUUCAACAGCACAUGUACUAAAAUUGGAAUGAUACACAGAAGAUUAACAUGGCCCCUGCGCAAGGACGACAUGCAAAUUCAUGAAGCGUUCCAUAUUUUU
ensembl:snRNA U6 U6 spliceosomal RNA